CCUACGGGUGGCAGCAGUGGGGAAUAUUGGACAAUGGGGGAAACCCUGAUCCAGCGACGCCGCGUGAGGGAAGAAGGAGUUCGGUACGUAAAGCUCUAUCAGCAGGAAAGAAAAGGACGGUACCUGACUAAGAAGCCCCGGCUAACUACGUGCCAGCAGCCGCGGUAAGACGGAGGGGGCAAGCGUUAUCCGGAUUUACUGGGUGUAAAGGGAGCGUAGACGGCAGCGCAAGUCUGGAGUGAAAUGCCGGGGCCCAACCCCGGAACUGCUCUGGAAACUGUGAAGCUGGAGUGCAGGAGCGGUAAGCGGACUUCCUGGUGUAGCGGUGAUAUGCGUAGAUCUCAGGAGGAACCCCGGCGGCGACGGCGGCUUCCUGGACUGUAUCUGCCGUUGAGGCUCGAAGGCGUGGGGAGCAAACAGGAUUAGAUACCCGAGUAGUC
rnacentral:rRNA from 1 species